AUCAGAAAACAUAGGAAAACUUCCAGUUUGGACAAAUACUACAAGAUUUGGGGAUGAUUAGGAUUGGCGAAUUCAUGAGUGAUGGGAUUCAUCCUGGCUUAUCAGAUACCAGGCUUGCAAGGAUACACCAGCCUGCUAAUGCGUUGUUGACCCGGAUUCUGACCUGCUCAAGCAUUAGGUUAAGGUGAGGAAAGAGAAGACCAGCAGAGGUUAUGGAACAGUGGUCCAGAGUGAGACCACCGGCCAGGGCAGGUGACCACCAGAACCAAACUUCAGAGCACGUACGCAUCCCCAGGAAUCCAGAGAUAUGUGGCAGCAGGGA
rnacentral:lncRNA from 1 species